rnacentral:lncRNA from 1 species
GAUUCCAGCUCAUCCUCAUCAUCUUCAUCUUCCUCCUCUUCUUCUUCCUCCUCCUCCAGUAGCUCUUCAGACAGUGACAGUGAGGAUGACAAGAAGAAGAAGAAGAAGAAAAAGGAGAAGAUGAAGAGCAAGGAUGAGGAGAACGAGUUAGUCUGGGGCACUGUUAUCGUAUGUGGUGAAGGUGGAAGUGAGCAGCUGUGGACAGAAGGUAUGAAGACGGGCAAGGUGAGAGAGAAAUCCAAUAGCUCCAUUGUAAUACAUGCUGUUUGUUGUUAAACCUUGUCAUUAUAGAAUGUUUGUCCUUUUCUUGCUUCAGGAUGUUGGCUCAUCAGAUGACAAUGAUGACAAGAAAAAGGAUAAAAAGAAGAAGAAGAAGAAGGACAAGAAGAAGAAGAAGAAGGUAUGUACACAUGUCCCAUAAUACUAGCAGGUGUCAUUUAGUCUUACAUGUAAUGAAAACAAACUUUAUAUGAAUUACACUUUGAAUCUUCAUGUUAUUGAAUAUCUACCGUACUUCCUCUAUCCCAGGAUUCAUCCUCUUCCUCAUCUGACUGUUCAUCCUCCGACAGUGAGGAUGAAAAGAGGAAGAAGAAGAAGAAAAAGAAGAAGAAGAAGAAGAAGACGAAGAAGAAGGUAUGAUCAUUUCAUACUAUACAGUUACAAUAUUGGGAAUAUAUUGGCUGUCAAUUGUCUGUCUGUUCUUCCUCUGUGUAAAUACAAAUGAAUGUUUUGUUCUUCUUUCAAAGGACUGCAGCUCCUCUUCCUCAGAUAACUCCUCCUCUUCAUCCUCCUCCUCCGACAGCGAGGAUGACAAGAAGAAAAAGAAGAAAAAAGACAAGAAGAAGAAGAAAAAGAAAGACAAGAAAAAGGACUCCGAUUCUUCUAGCAGUGAUGAUGACAAGAAGAAAAAGAAGAAGAAAGACAAGAAGAAGAAAAAGAAGAAGGACAAAAAGAAGGACUCCAGUUCAUCGAGUUCAUCUGAUAGUUUCUGUGGCAGUGACAAGGAAAAUAAAAAGGACGAGAAGGACGAGAAGGACGAGAAGGACAAGAAGGACGAGAAGAAGAAGGAAUGCCCUGAGCAAUGCGACAAGCCAAAAACGGAAGUUUCCGGCUCAGGUGGUGGCGGCUUUUCAGCUCCCAGUGGCAGCUACUCUAAGUCUGCAGUUGCUCCUGGCGGUGGUCCUGCCAGGUGAUCCUGCCGGUGGUCCUGCCGGUGGUCCUGCCGGUGGUCCUGCCGGUGCUCCUGCCGGUGCUCCUGCCGGUGCUCCUGCCGGUGCUCCUGCCGUCUCUUACGCGUCACUCCCCUCCAAACCCUUUGUGAAGCUGGAUCCGAGUCUUUCAACUGUCUCCAAGCCCCCUUUCUCUAGCACCACCCUGAGUAUGGGAGAUAGGGCCCCCAUUCGCAGACCUCCCAGCCCCAUGGAGUCUUUGAUGGGGAGCCCGAGGAGGUAUGGAGAGCGUUCCACCUCCCACCUCACCUCCAGUGACCUAUUGAAAGGCCCCAAGCCUUACUAAUAAUGAGAUGUCAUGGAUAGAAAUGUGAUUUUACUGAUACUGGAGGAUGUUGAAUGUGAUGAUGAUAUGAUUAGAGGUUAGUGUGUAAAGAUGCAUUGUGACAUGAUGAACAUUGUCAAGUCGAGGAAGAUAAUUACACCAUGAGAAAUCAUUUUGUUAUAAAAACUUUUACUUAAUAGUUCAUAAUUUGUCAAUUUAAUUGUUAAAAAAAUGCACAUUUGUGGCAGAAAUGUCAAUUCAUAAUCACAUGAAAUAAUUAGAAAUCCUUGCUUUGUGGAAUAAAAUAAUAUGAUUUCAU